AUGGCUGUCGUCAGCUCGUGUCGUGAGAUGUUGGGUUAAGUCCCGCAACGAGCGCAACCCUUGUCCUAUGUUGCCAGCGGAUAAUGCCGGGGACUCGUAGGAGACUGCCGGGGUCAACUCGGAGGAAGGUGGGGACGACGUCAAGUCAUCAUGCCCCUUAUAUCCAGGGCUGCAAACAUGCUACAAUGGCCGGUACAGAGGGCUGCGAUACCGCGAGGUUGAGCGAAUCCCAAAAAGCCGGUCUCAGUUCGGAUUGGAGUCUGCAACUCGACUCCAUGAAGGCGGAGUCGCUAGUAAUCCCGGAUCAGCAACGCCGGGGUGAAUACGUUCCCGGGCCUUGUACACACCGCCCGUCACACCACGAAAGUUGGCAACACCCGAAGUCAGUGGCCCGACUCUUUGAGAGGGAACUGCCGAAGGUGGGGUUAGCGAUUGGGGUGAAGUCGUAACAAGGUAGCCGUACCGGAAGGUGCGGCUGGAUCACCUCCUUUCUAAGGAGCUAUUUCCGUUUCUUAUUCGGUGGAAAUCAUCGAAUCUGGACGGCAACUCCCAGUUAAUGCACUGGCUAGUUGGCCUCGUACCGCCACCGGGAUGACCCGGCCAGGGGGUGCUUGGCGUUCCGUCCUCUAUCUCGUUUUGAGGGAGUGUCCGCACAUCCCUCGGACCUUCGGCCUCUGCCCCGCCUCCACCAGGUGGGGCACGCCGCGGCCGGCAUUGGAGGCCAGCGACAGUCCCUUGAGAACUGCACAGCGAACAUGAGCAUCUUCAUCAAUAUGUCGAUGAUCUGUAUUUCCAAGCUACUAAGAGCCAACGGUGGAUGCCUUGGCGACUACUACCGAAGAAGGACGUGGGAAGCUGCGAAAUGCCACGGUGAGCUGCUGACCGAGCUACGACCCGUGGAUGUCCGAAUGGGGAAACCCGG
rnacentral:sRNA from 1 species